UUAAGCAUUCCGCCCUGGGGGAGUACGGGCCGCAAAGGGCUGAAACUCCAAAGGAAUUAGACGGGGGGGCCGCACAAGCGGUGGAGCAUUGUGGUUUAAUUUGGAAGCUACGCGAAGAACCUUACCAGGUCUUUGACAUACUAUGCAAAUCUAAGAGAUUAAGACGUUCCCUUCGGGGACAUGGAUACAGGUGGUGCAUGGUUGUCGUCAGCUCGUGUCGUGAGAUGUUGGGUUAAGUCCCGCAACGAGCGCAACCCUUAUUAUCAGUUGCCAGCAUUAAGUUGGGCACUCUGGUGAGACUGCCGGUGACAAACCGGAGGAAGGUGGGGAUGACGUCAAAUCAUCAUGCCCCUUAUGACCUGGGCUACACACGUGCUACAAUGGAUGGUACAACGAGUUGCGAACUCGCGAGAGUAAGCUAAUCUCUUAAAGCCAUUCUCAGUUCGGAUUGUAGGCUGCAACUCGCCUACAUGAAGUCGGAAUCGCUAGUAAUCGCGGAUCAGCAUGCCGCGGUGAAUUCGUUCUCGGGCCUUGCCCACACCCCCCGUUGUGCCAAGAGAGU
rnacentral:rRNA from 2 species